CUACUCUGGUUUCUCUUCAGAUCGAAUAAAGCUUUUGCUUUAUUAAAGUUUUUUUGUGGAAAGGAUCAUCCAUGAGUUUUUACAUUUUUUUUUUUUGAGGCUCUGCCCCUUGCAGGGCU